rnacentral:rRNA from 1 species
UACAGAGGGGGCAAGCGUUGUUCGGAAUUACUGGGCGUAAAGCGUGCGCAGGCGGUUUUGUAAGUCUGACGUGAAAUCCCCGGGCUCAACCUGGGAAUUGCGUUGGAGACUGCAAGGCUGGAGUCUGGCAGAGGGGGGUAGAAUUCCACGUGUAGCAGUGAAAUGCGUAGAGAUGUGGAGGAACACCGAUGGCGAAGGCAGCCCCCUGGGUCAAGACUGACGCUCAUGCACGAAAGCGUGGGGAGCAAACAGG